rnacentral:tRNA from 1 species
UUUUAUAUAGUUUAAUUAAAAACAUUAUAUUUUCAUUAUAAAAAUAAAGAAUAUAUUCUUUAUAAAUU